AAGAAAAAUUUCAGUCUUGGUUGCCGAGAGCUUCUCCAGUUGUCCGUGGUUUUGGUGGAUUUUCUUUCCCGUGCGUCUUCGUGUUUGUUGUAGUGCAGUGAGUACAUCGUUCUACUCGGUUUCUCAUAAACGUUAAGCCUUCAACCGGAAUUAUUUUUUUUCAUCUCUAGAUAGUGUUGCAUCACUCCCUUAUUUCAUCGAUCACCACAUGACGCUAGGUAAGAGAUAUUGUUGUAAACUUUCUUUGGCACCAGUUUACGUGUGUUAGAAGAAUAAAAUUUGAUUUGUUGGAUUGGUGUUUUAGAAAUAUAUAGAAGUGAGUCUUGUUGGGUGCCGAUUAACAUUUAGAAGUGUUGGAUUCUAUUUUGUGGAGUUGUGAACGG